GACGAACGCUGGCGGCGUGCCUAAUACAUGCAAGUCGAACGCAUUUUCUUUCACCGUAGCUUGCUACACCGAAAGAAAAUGAGUGGCGAACGGUUGAGUAACACGUGGGUAACCUGCCCAUCAGCGGGGGAUAACACUUGGAAACAGGUGCUAAUACCGCAUAAUUCCAUUUACCGCAUGGUAAAUGGAUGAAAGGCGCUUUUGCGUCACUGAUGGAUGGACCCGCGGUGCAUUAGCUAGUUGGUGGGGUAACGGCCUACCAAGGCUGCGAUGCAUAGCCGACCUGAGAGGGUGAGCGGCCACACUGGGACUGAGACACGGCCCAGACGCCUACGGGAGGCAGCAGUAGGGAAUCUUCGGCGAUGGACGCAAGGCUGACCGAGCAACGCCGCGUGAGUGAAGAAGGUUUUCGGAUCGUAAAACUCUGUUGUUAGAGAAGAACAAGGAUGAGAGUGGAAAGUUCAUCCCUUGACGGUAUCUAACCAGAAAGCCACGGCUAACUACGUG
rnacentral:rRNA from 1 species